AGCGAACGUUAGCGGCGGGCUUAACACAUGCAAGUCGAGCGAGAAAGUGGCUUCGGCCAUCAGUAAAGCGGCGGACGGGUGAGUAACACGUAGGUAAUCUUCCCUUGAGCGGGGGACAACGAGCCGAAAGGCUCGCUAAUACCGCAUAAGUUUCUUGGGACUCCGGUCCUGGGAAGGAAAGCUAGGCAGCAAUGUCCGGCACUCGAGGAGGAGCCUGCGUCGCAUCAGCUAGNGGUGGGGUAAUGGCCUACCAAGGCGAAGACGCGUAGCUGGUCUGAGAGGAUGAUCAGCCACACUGGGACUGAGACACGGCCCAGACCCCUACGGGAGGCAGCAGUGGGGAAUCUUGCGCAAUGGGCGAAAGCCUGACGCAGCGACGCCGCGUGAGGGAUGACGGCC
rnacentral:rRNA from 1 species